rnacentral:rRNA from 1 species
UACAGAGGGUGCGAGCGUUGUCCGGAAUCACUGGGCGUAAAGGGCGCGUAGGUGGCGGCCCAAGUCCAUGGUGAAAGCUCGAUGCUCAACAUCGAGUCGGCCACGGAUACUGGGUUGCUCGAGCACUGUAGGGGCAGAUGGAAUUCCGGGUGUAGCGGUGGAAUGCGUAGAGAUCCGGAAGAACACCGGUGGCGAAGGCGGCCUGCUGGGCAGUAGCUGACGCUGAGGCGCGACAGCGUGGGGAGCAAACAGG